rnacentral:rRNA from 1 species
CUAGUGUAGCGGUGAAAUGCGUAGAGAUUAGGAAGAACACCAGUGGCGAAGGCGACUUACUGGACUGUAACUGACGCUGAGGCAUGAGAGCAUGGGGAGCAAACAGGAUUAGAUACCCUGGUAGUCCAUGCUGUAAACGAUGGGUACUAGGUGUGGGCUGUGAAGAACAGUUCGUGCCGUCGCAAACGCAAUAAGUACCCCGCCUGAGGAGUACGAUCGCAAGAUUAAAACUCAAAGGAAUUGACGGGGACCCGCACAAGCAGCGGAGCAUGUGGUUUAAUUCGAAGCAACGCGAAGAACCUUACCUAAACUUGACAUACCUUGAAUUACCUUGUAAUGAGGGAAGCUCGCAAGAGCAAGGAUACAGGUGGUGCAUGGUUGUCGUCAGCUCGUGUCGUGAGAUGUUGGGUUAAGUCCCGCAACGAGCGCAACCCUUGUUGUUAAUUGCUAACAGGAUAAGCUGAGCACUUUAGCAAGACAGCCUAGGUUAACUAGGAGGAAGGUGGGGAUGACGUCAAAUCAUCAUGCCCCUUACGUUUAGGGCUACACACGUGCUACAAUGGUGAGAACAAAGAGAAGCAAGCUAGCGAUAGUGAGCAAAACUUAGAAAACUCAUCUCAGUUCGGAUUGCAGGCUGAAACUCGCCUGUAUGAAGAUGGAGUUGCUAGUAAUCGCGAAUCAGAAUGUCGCGGUGAAUACGUUCCCGGGUCUUGUACACACCGCCCGUCACACCAUGAGAGUUGGCAACACCCGAAGCUUGUGGGCUAACCGAAAGGAGGCAGCAAUCUAAGGUGGGGUCAGUGAUUGGGGUGAAGUCGUAACAAGGUAGCCGUAGGAGAACCUGCGGCUG